rfam:Camelus ferus unplaced genomic scaffold scaffold571, whole genome shotgun sequence.
GAGGGUAUAGCUCCAUGGUAGAGUGCAUGCCUAACAUGCACGAGGUCCUGGGUUCAAUCUCCAGUACCUCCA